GAAGAAGAAGAAGAAGAAGAAGAAGAGGAGGAGAAGAAGGAAGAAGAAGAAGUAGAAGAAGAAGAAGAAGAACAAGAGGAGGAGUAGAAGGAGGAAGAAGCAGAAGAAGAAGAAGAAGCAGCAGAAACUCACCUGUGGGGAUGAGGAGGGAAAACGAUGCAUAAAAAGGAUCAAGAAGACCCUGGGAGGACUCCAUAUCUCCUGCUAUUCAUCGCCUAGUCUUCCAUCUUUCCAUCGCUUGAGCUGCCUACACAUCCUCGGGGUGACCUUCCACCAACUUGCUUUGAACAAAGAGCGUGAAAACCUCCUGUGUGCUAGAGAGUAGCGGGGCACUGUGCAUCAAAAUAUCAGCGCAGGUUGAAAGGCACAAAAUAAGAAUCCUUGGCUGCCUGCGACCAAUGAAACAACCAGGAACAGCUCUGAUAAUCUCCUUCAUCCACAUUGUGGUCUUUCUUUCACCAUCCAUUACAAGUGUGUGACAGCUACCAGACGGGUUGAGAGGGGAGAACAAUGUGUUGUGACCCUCAGUACUGCCCUCCAGCUCAGCGCCUGGUUCCAACUCCUUCUCCCAGCAGGCCGUGGGGGGCCGGGCCGCCGCCCUUCUACCCGCCUCCCUCUCCACCCCUCCACCACCUCCAGAAUCAAUCGCUCUGCGACACCAUACAAACGAUCCACUGAAGUCCAUGCAUCACAGUACAAUGCACCACCAACAAUGGCCAGCCAUGUGGUUCAGGACUGAGAGAGAGAAUAAGAUGGACAGUUAUUACGGUAACUUCCUGGAGUCUCCGCUGGUGGCCUGACAGGCUAGCUGUUUCUCCCUGGUUCCAGUCUUUGUGCUAAGCCAAGCAAACCGACUGUUGGCUGUAGCUUUACAACGUUUCCUCAUACAACGUAACAUGAACUGAGGGAUCCCACUUCCAACUAUUCCGACAUCGGGAGGAUGCCAUAUAAAGUCCAACCCACCUGGUGAUGAAGUCUGAGAUAGGCUGCUGUCUAACUGUGAUAGGUUGUUGAAAGAACCACAACUUGCCAAACCCAGCGCCUUGAGUCCUCCCCUCCGCCUUGGGAAGGCUUGGCGAGUAAACAGUGUCUUUGCUGAUUACAACGCCUCUCUCUCUCUCUGCAGCCCAAGUGACCUCCGUUGCUCCUAAUGGCAUUUGCAAAAUUUCAAUGCGUCCGAAGAAAAACAACCAA